AGUAAAUAGAUACCCCGGGUAGUCCACGCUGUAAACGAUGAGUGCUGGACGUUGGCGGGUUUACCUGCCGGUGUCGCAGCUAAACGCGUUAAGCACUCCGCCUGGGGAGUACGGCCGCAAGGUUAAAACUCAAAGGAAUUGACGGGGGCCCGCACAAGCGGUGGAGCAUGUGGUUUAAUUCGACGCAACGCGCAGAACCUUACCAGCCCUUGACAUGGGCGGACGGGGUCCAGAGAUGGACUCUUUCUCGCAAGAGACCGCUACACAGGUGCUGCAUGGCUGUCGUCAGCUCGUGUCGUGAGA
rnacentral:rRNA from 1 species